rnacentral:rRNA from 1 species
GGACCCGCACAAGCGGUGGAGCAUGUGGUUUAAUUCGAAGCAACGCGAAGAACCUUACCAAAUCUUGACAUCCUUUGACAACUCUAGAGAUAGAGCUUUCCCCUUCGGGUGACAAAAGUGACAGGUGGUGCAUGGUUGUCGUCAGCUCGUGUCGUGAGAUGUUGGGUUAAGUCCCGCAACGAGCGCAACCCUUAAGCUUAGUUGCCAGCAUUAAAGUUGGGGCACUCUAAGUUUGACUGCCGGUGACAAACCGGAGGAAGGUGGGG